ensembl:lncRNA uncharacterized LOC107305828
AUGCCCCGGGGGCGAGCCUGGACGCAAGCGGAGGUCGGCAGCCUGCUGGCACUGGUGGGGGGCUCGGGGGAGGCCGCCCUACUGAUGGCCUCCACGUCUCGGCCCAACGAGGCUCUGUGGCAGCAGAUCUCCCGUGGGCUGGCGGCAGCCGGAUACAGCCGUAGCGUGGCCCAGUGCCGGUCUAAGUGGAAGGCACUUAAGCAAGCUUUCCAUUCGGAGAGAGAAACGCGACGCAGAGCCGGACUCCACUCUCCCCGCCUGCCUCCUCACUACCGAACCAUGAAGAGCAUCUGGAAGGCUGCCGGGAGACCGGUCUUCCGUGAGCGGCGGCUGCUGGAUCUGGGGAAGCUGCCCCCCAGGAGGCGCAGAUCGGUCCCUGCCACCCGCUCUCCAUCCUCACCAGUACCACCAGAUUCCCAGGGCACAAUGCUGUCUCCGCUGCUGUGGCGUGUGAAGGAUGAGCCAGAGAGCUCCUGCGGGGAACACAUCGCUGGAUCAGUGCCUGACCCCACAGCUGUCCUAAACACCGCUCACUGCAUCCCUCUCCUUCCCGUCCUGGGCACCCACGCUGUCCUGAAACAGGAAAGUGCUGAGCAGAAGGCGGGUUUCCCCACUGAGACAUCCCCAGGGAUGGGAGGAGGAAACAUUGCGCUGCCAGUGCCCCCUGCAGCCCCUGUCUCUCCCCGACCCAGCGAGCAGACAGCAGCGGGUGAGGAUGUGCCGGACACCAGCCUGCAAGGCUGUGGCGUGGCAGGCCUACUUCACAGCGUUCAGCAGCUGCUGGUGCAGAUUCUGCAGACAUCACGACAGCAGCAGGCGCUGCUGGAGAGCCUCGCCAGCGACACCGUCUCCCACCUCCACCUCCUCUCGCACAGCCUGGUGCAGGUGGGUGAAACCCUGCACCAACUGCUGCUCCGACCACAAGCCCCCUCCAGCCACAGUGCCCCACACAUUCCCCUUUUUGGGGGCAGCCCCCCGGUGCCACUGCUCUCUGGGCUGCCUUGUGCUUCCCCGGAUUCCAAAGAGGAGUGCCGGGUGUCUCCUGGCUCUGGCUGCGCCCUGCCAUGAGCGUGCUUGUGGCACAAAUCUUUAUAACAGGAGCUCUGGGGAUUUUAGAUGGUUUAUAGAAGACACAGAUUUUAGUAACAUUAAAAAUAGCUUUUGUAUCAGCAGAGCCAAUUGACCAAUUAUUUCCCCCCUCCACCCACCCCCUGUACUUAAGGUUUCGAGUUGAGCGGAAGGGGAACUGCACUAUUUAAAGCCUCCCAGAAACUCCCCCGGGCCAAUGCAUACCAAUGGGCCAAGCAGGGAUGCUGUGUACCACUGUUGUCUGUCAUUCUCCAACACCUGGCUCCCAGCCCAGCAGGGGCGAACCAUGAUGGGGAAGUCCAUCACCUCCAGUGGCACUCUCCCCUGUCUCACAUGCAAUGGUCCCGUGACACUGCCAGCCCCGAUGGGGGCAUUGAUAAGCCCUGCUCUGUUCCUUGAUGCAGCCACCACCUCUGGGCCCAGUGCACAGACACACAGGUCACUCAGCAUGGGGGGGGAGGUGACAUGUGACAUGGGGGUGGUGGGAGGCUGGGGGCAGUGAGAAUGCAGUGAAAUGCAGUGCAGUUAAUUGAAAUGAAAUGCAGUGAAAUGCAGCGUAGUCUAAUGGGUUUAAAUGAAAUGAAAUGCAAUAAUAAUAAAUCCAAAGCAGUGCAGUGCA